CAUUUCGCCCCGAAACAUCCAAAUUCCAUCGUCCUCAACACAGACGCCACAACCACGAACACCCCCUCCCCCUGGCGGCUGGCCCCUACAGCGCGCCGCCUAUAGGUCCCUCCGCCCAGCAGUCGGCCCCUCCCCCAGCGCGCCGCCUACCGGCCCCUCCCCCAGCGCACCACCGACGGACCCCUCCCCCAGCACGUCGCCGACUGGCCCCUUCCCCAGUGGGCCGCCGUCCGAUGCCUCCCCCAGCGAGCCGCCGCCGGCCCCAUCUAGCCUAGUGCGCCACCGCCGGCCCCGUCCCCCAGUGCGUCGUCGAGCGCCCCAUGGACGGCGCAACUCCGGCUGCAACAUCCUGGUGGAGGCGCGGCGCCGUCUUUGAGAGGUUCCAUCAGCUGGUGCUCCUCCUCCUUCUGAUAUGCACGAGCUCCAAUUCGUGGAGAUGCUCCGUGGGGGUCCAGUCCCAUAUAUCUUUUAACCAGGUUCAUGGUGAAGCCUAGGGUGCUCGUCGGCGAUCACAAGAAGUGGGCCGUCGAGAAGGAGCUGGGCGACAUGGUGCAGCGGUGUGGCCAGUUCAACUACCUAUAUUAAACCAAUUGAAUAAAUGAGAUAAAAACAUUAGGUCACCUCAUCCGACACCAUCGUCUGGCAAUUCGUUUGGGUUGGUUUGCUGUGCAGUAUAGGCAAAGCAUGGCCACCACCAAUGCACUAUGUGGUUAAGAGUGACGGAAUUCAACUCAGACCAACACCUUGGUCAUCUUUCUGUUGCCUGGCAACGGGUGUGUACUUUAGACUAUUCCUAGCAAUGGUAACGAGCUGUUCAAUGUGGGGUUCGUGCAACAUAUAAUGCAAAGUAGAUUGGUGCAGGAA